rnacentral:rRNA from 1 species
AUUGAACGCUGGCGGCAGGCCUAACACAUGCAAGUCGAACGAGUGGCGGACGGGUGAGUAAUGUCUGGGAAACUGCCCGAUGGAGGGGGAUAACUACUGGAAACGGUAGCUAAUACCGCAUACCAUCGGAUGUGCCCAGAUGGGAUUAGCUAGUAGGUGGGGUAACGGCUCACCUAGGCGACGAUCCCUAGCUGGUCUGAGAGGAUGACCAGCCAAACUGUAACUGAGACACGGUCCAGACGCCUACGGGAGGCUGCAGUGGGGAAUAUUGCACAAUGGUCGCAAGCCUGAUGCAGCCAUGCCGCGUGUAGGACGAAGGCCUUCGGGUUGUAAAGUACUUUCAGCGAGGAGGCGUUACUCGCAGAAGAAGCACCGGCUAACUCCGUGCCAGCCGCCGCGGUAAUAC